ensembl:lncRNA
CUUGAAUUAAUUAUGAACAUGAUUAAGAAAGCUAAAAUCUCAGGAGCCAGUCUCUCAUUACCCAUUCACUCUUAGGGAUUGCUUUCAUUCAGGGAAGGAGAGGCGAAAAAGCCUUCCAGCAGAGCCCACUCCGGCUCAGCUCUUCUCCCUGUGUGCCUGUCCCCUUGUCUCUGCUGCCGGGCCAACUGACCAAGCCUCCGACAGACAGACCGGCCGGCCGGCCGCCAGCCCGCCCGCCGCCUGGACGGCUCUCUUGCACUCAUGCCUGUUAUGGUGAUGUGGCCAAGCUCAGCUAGCUGCUUCGUGGCCUCUGACGUUUGCAUGGAAAAGAGAGGAUGUGCUCAACCUUCCUGUUCUACACCUGAGUUCAAGCUCUGGGGUCUUGACCCUCUUAAAAAAAGAAACACUCGAGUACGAAGAGAAGAAACGAGUCACUAGCGAAAAGAGAACAAGAGAGAAAGACGGUGAGAUCUCAGGGGUUAAUGGCAAUCCUCCUGUCCUAGGGAUUGAUCCAAGUAUUGGAUCGCACAUAAAGCUGCAGUUACUGGAUAUUACCCUGCCGCUAUCGGCCUGCAGUGAUGGCCUGGAUAAGAAGUGC